GCCCCUCUACAAAUGUAUCUAAGGUUUGAAUUGGCUUUUGGACUGUGUCUGUUGGCUUAUAUAUAUAUAUUCAGUGAAUACCUGUGCUAAUUUAUACAACCUCACCUUUUCAGGGCGCUCGUGGUCCUCCAGGAUUAGAUGGUGAACCUGGUAUCCCUGGGCAACCAGGUGACCCUGGCCCGCCUGGACAGCCAUCCACAGGACCAGAUGGAGUGGGCAGACCAUUUACAUCUCAGAUGGCAGGGUUGGAUGAAAAAUCUGGACUCUCUGGUCAAAUGGGGUUCAUGCCCGGUGCAGUGGGUCCUGUGGGUCCAAGAGGGCCUCCAGGUCUGACAGGACAACCCGUAAGUGCCCGUUAUACAAAACCUAAUACUUUGGCUGCAUUCAGAAGUAAAAAUAAAGUAGAGUUUACCCUCAUAGGAAGAACUCAUUCUG
rnacentral:lncRNA from 1 species